UCCCCGCCGGGUUCCCGCCGAGGCGGGAGGCGAGCGCGGGCGUGGGCGCCGCGUCGCGGGCCCUCGAAGGCCACGGGGCCGGCCGGGCCACCCGGGCAGCCGGAGAGGCCACUCCGGGAGCGAGCGGGCUGAGGCUUCCAGCAGAAGAUGUGGCCCAGAUUAAAGGUAUGCCUUCCGGCAUCAAGAUCUGAACAAAAGCCAUGUUGUCUAUCUGCCUCAAGUUCCGGAUCGCAAGUGUGCCCUCUAUUUUUGUACUGUAGUUCAUUCCAGAUAGAGUCAAGUUGACAACGAUGAAUAGCUAUCACAGCCCCCAACCAUAAAAUUAUUUUGUUGUGAGCUGGAGAGAUGGCUCAUCAGUUAAGAGCACUGGCUGCUCUUCCAGAGGACUCAGGUUCAAUUCCCAACACCCACAUGGCCCCUCACAACUGUCUGUAACUCAAGUUCCAGUGGAUCCAACAUUUUCAUACAGACAUACAUGCACACAAAACACCAAUGCAUUUAAAACAGUUUAUUUUAGGGCUGGAGAGAUGGCUCAGAGGUUAAGAACACUGGCUGUUCUUCCAGAGGUCCUGAGUUCAAUUCCCAGCACCCACAUGGUAGCUCACAAACAUCUUUAAUGAGAUACGUAAUAAAUAAAUAAAUCUUUAAAAAAAAAUUUAUUUUAAAUUUCAUUGCUACUUCAUAGCUUUAAUUUUGCUGCUGUUAUGAAUAGUAAUGUAAAUAUCUGAUAUGCAAGAUAUCCUAAAUUGACCCCAAAGGGGUCAAAACACACAGGUUGAGAACCAUUGUCUAGUUCCUGUAAAUUGGUCUGAGGAAGUUCUUAGUGCUUGCAGGGAAAAGCUGACUUUCCAGGAGAUGAUCGUCAUCUACAGAGGGUCCAUCCAAUGAGGCUUUGUUCUCCCUGAAAUUUAACGAUGACUUACCUCUCUGACUUCAGCCUUAAGGAGAGUAAGAAACAGUAAACAUUAGGGUUUUUCUUCUGUCUCUGUGAAACACUAUGAAACUUUUCAAAUCAAAUCUUUUCAUCUUCCCCCACCUAGUAAAACCUUUGUGCAAAUGUUUGAAUUCUGCCCCACCUGCUAAAACUUUUGUUUACUGCGUUCUCCUAACUGAAGUGACUUUUGUAAGGGACUGCUUUCUACUCUCCUUCUUUUUCUUUUCCCUGAUUCUUCUAAAACUAACCAAUCAUGGAAGACUGUGAAGUUGUACUCCAGUCAGUGGGAAAAAGACAGUUACCACUUGGAUUAGAAUAAAAACCAUGUAAACUUC